UACGUAGGGUCCGAGCGUUGUCCGGAAUUAUUGGGCGUAAAGAGCUCGUAGGCGGUUUGUCGCGUCUGCUGUGAAAUCCCGAGGCUCAACCUCGGGCCUGCAGUGGGUACGGGCAGACUGGAGUGCGGUAGGGGAGAAUGGAAUUCCUGGUGUAGCGGUGGAAUGCGCAGAUAUCAGGAGGAACACCGAUGGCGAAGGCAGUUCUCUGGGCCGUAACUGACGCUGAGGCACGAAAGCGUGGGUAGCAAACAGG
rnacentral:rRNA from 1 species